rfam:Streptomyces scabrisporus strain NF3 contig1, whole genome shotgun sequence.
UGAGUCGGCCGGGCGGCCGCGUCGGGAUUCCUCCUCGGAGGGUUCCGCCGAGGAACGUCCGGGCUCCACAGGGCAGGGUGGUCGGUAACACCGACCCGGGGCGACCCGCGGGACAGUGCCACAGAAAACAGACCGCCGGCGUCCUCGGACGACCGGUAAGGGUGAAACGGUGGUGUAAGAGACCACCAGCGCCCGAGGUGACUCGGGCGGCUAGGUAAACCCCACCCGGAGCAAGGUCAAGAGGAGCACCGUCAAACGUGCUCUGCGCGAACGUUCGAGGGCGGCCCGCCCGAGUUCGCGGGUAGACCGCUGGAGGCUGUCGGCAACGGCAGUCGUAGAUGGAUGGCCGCCUCCCCGGGCGCCGCAAGGCUCCCGGGAGACAGAACCCGGCGUAAAGGCCGACUCAUCCG